UUGUUUUGAAGAGGUAUUGAUAUUCUUAAAAAUUGAGAAGUCUAGCUCCAAAUGACAGUCAAGAAGAGGGCAUCAAUCCAUUAAAAGGACAGCGUCAUUUCAUCCACAGUCUCUCAUGACGUGAGCUACGUAAAGAGGUAUGUCAUUCCACCAGUAUGAAGAAGAUAAGCAAGAAGGAAGUUAAUAAAGCAGAAUUUUCUUUGUUACGGAGACUGCAUUUGAGUGGAUUGUAAUGGCAGGUAUGGUGCUGCCAAGGAGAAACAACGCCAGAGAUGCUGCAGAAGCUUGAGGCUUUCCUAUGAAUAACCUGGAGGCAGACUGGGGGAGUUAGGUAACCCAGGCUGCCGUCCAUUGCAAAACAUCUGAAGAAGCUCUACAAGAUGCAUUUGUCACUGAAUUUGUAGCUUCAUGGAUGUGUGUGUACCUGCCAUUUAAUUUCCGUUAGUUCAACAAAAUAUAUAUAUAAAUAUCCCUAUUACUUGUAAAUGAACUUUCUUUAAAAGGACACUUUGAAAUAAUAUAUGGUCAAUGAUACGAGUUCCUUGGAAACUGCU